AUGAAAGGAAAAUCCUGCCGAGGCAAUCGUAUUUGUUUUGGUAGAUAUGCUCUUCAAGCACUUGAACCCGCUUGGAUCACGGCGAGACAGAUACAAGCAGGACGAAGAGCAAUAACACGAUAUGCACGUCGUGGUGGAAAAAUAUGGGUACGUAUAUUUCCCGACAAACUGGUUACACUAAGACCCACAGAAACACGUACGGGCUCGGGAAAGGGGUCCCUCGGAUAUUGGGUAUCCGUUGUUAAACUUGGUCGUAUACUUUAUGAAAUGGGGGGAGUAUCUGAAACUGUAGCUAGAGCAGCUAUCUCCAUAGCUGCCAGUAAAAUGCCCAUACGAAGUCAAUUUAUUCGAUUAGAGAUAUAG
rnacentral:rRNA from 1 species